AGAGUGUCUCUUUUAGAGAACAGCUGGAGGUUGCAAACAUGGCCGGGAAAGAACUCGAGGCCGAGACCCAUCUCAGGAGGUGCCUGUCUCCUCCAGGGCCACUCAACACGUCCAAUACUGUGACACAGAUGGGCUAGCCUCCUUCUCUCUCCUUCCACCCUGUCUUUAGGACCAUCUCCAGACAUCAAAGAGCAUUAUAUCAUGGCUAAGAACAGAUGCUGGGGCCAGGGAGAUGGGCACAGGGAGAUGGCACUAAGCUUUCAGAGGAUUGGAGUUUGGUUCCCAUUCCCAUGUUGGCCAGAUCAUGACGGCCAGUGGCUACAGCUUCAGAGGACCUGGAACCUUCUUCUGGUGACCCUGCAUGCACCACCUUCAUAUGCACCUCCCCCUAAGACACACACGGAAGCACACAAUCAAAAUAAUGAAAAGAACACAGGUGCUGGUUCUGUGUGGCU
ensembl:processed_transcript